rnacentral:tRNA from 1 species
AUUUAAAUAGUAUAAAUAUUAUUUUUGACUUCCAAUCAAAAGAUCUACAUUCUAGUUUAAAUA